CGCAUACAUAAUGACAAAAAAUACGCUUAUGUAAGAGGAACAGUUGGCCGAGUGGCUGGAGCCUUGUGCCUUGUGCCUUGUGCUACGGUGCCGCACGCCAUCUGUUCAAUACCCGGCGGAUUACUUGCUGUAAUUAGCAAACACAGUCAAUUAAGACAGGGAAAGUCCAUCUUGAUUAGCUUUGCUUAGAGAGAUUUCCUGGGCAAGGAAGAAGAGUGCGUAGUGAGAAUAACGACAUAUGGUGCAUUAUUUAAACUGAUAAAAUACGCAUACAUAAUGACAAAAAAUACGCUUAUCUAAGAGGAACAGUUGGCCGAGUGGCUGGAGCCUUGUGCCUUGUGCCUUGUGCUACGGUGCCGCACGCCAUCUGUUCAAUACCCGGGUAAGACUUUUUUUAUUUUUUAUUUUUAACGAAGUUUUAUGAAGUAGGAAAAUAUUAUAUACAAGAUUUAGUAAGUUUAAUUUAAAAAAUUUCUAUUCUUAACGCAAUUUUUUUUGUGAGAGUUUUAACAGAUCCAUUUAAGUGAUUUUACUAUUGUUUGUUUUUCUCAUUAUUUAGCGGAUUACUUGCUGUAAUUAGCAAACACAGUCAAUUAAGACAGGGCAAGUCCAUCUUGAUUAGCUUUGCUUAGAGAGAUUUCCUGGGCAAGGAAGAAGAGUGCGUAGUGAGAAUAACCACAUAUGGUGCAUUAUUUAAACUGAUAAAAUACGCAUACAUAAUGACAAAAAAAACGCUUAUCUAAGAGGAACAGUUGGCCGAGUGGCUGGAGCCUUGUGCCUUGUGCCUUGUGCUACGGUGCCGCACGCCAUCUGUUCAAUACCCGGCGGAUUACUUGCUGUAAUUAGCAAACACAGUCAAUUAAGACAGGGCAAGUCCAUCUUGAUUAGCUUUGCUUAGAGAGAUUUCCUGGGCAAGGAAGAAGAGUGCGUAGUGAGAAUAACCACAUAUGGUGCAUUAUUUAAACUGAUAAAAUACGCAUACAUAAUGACAAAAAAAACGCUUAUCUAAGAGGAACAGUUGGCCGAGUGGCUGGAGCCUUGUGCCUUGUGCCUUGUGCUACGGUGCCGCACGCCAUCUGUUCAAUACCCGGCGGAUUACUUGCUGUAAUUAGCACACACAGUCAAUUAAGACAGGGCAAGUCCAUCUUGAUUAGCUUUGCUUAGAGAGAUUUCCUGGGCAAGGAAGAAGAGUGCGUUGUGAGAAUAACGACAUAUGGUGCAUUAUUUAAACUGAUAAAAUACGCAUACAUAAUGACAAAAAAAACGCUUAUGUAAGAGGAACAGUUGGCCGAGUGGCUGGAGCCUUGUGCCUUGUGCCUUGUGCUACGGUGCCGCACGCCAUCUGUUCAAUACCCGGCGGAUUACUUGCUGUAAUUAGCAAACACAGUCAAUUAAGACAGGGCAAGUCCAUCUUGAUUAGCUUUGCUUAGAGAGAUUUCCUGGGCAAGGAAGAAGAGUGCGUAGUGAGAAUAACCACAUAUGGUGCAUUAUUUAAACUGAUAAAAUACGCAUACAUAAUGACAAAAAAAACGCUUAUCUAAGAGGAACAGUUGGCCGAGUGGCUGGAGCCUUGUGCCUUGUGCCUUGUGCUACGGUGCCGCACGCCAUCUGUUCAAUACCCGGCGGAUUACUUGCUGUAAUUAGCACACACAGUCAAUUAAGACAGGGCAAGUCCAUCUUGAUUAGCUUUGCUUAGAGAGAUUUCCUGGGCAAGGAAGAAGAGUGCGUAGUGAGAAUAACCACAUAUGGUGCAUUAUUUAAACUGAUAAAAUUCGCAUACAUAAUGACAAAAAAACGCUUAUCUAAGAGGAACAGUUGGCCGAGUGGCUGGAGCCUUGUGCCUUGUGCCUUGUGCUACGGUGCCGCACGCCAUCUGUUCAAUACCCGGCGGAUUACUUGCUGUAAUUAGCAAACACAGUCAAUUAAGACAGGGAAAGUCCAUCUUGAUUAGCUUUGCUUAGAGAGAUUUCCUGGGCAAGGAAGAAGAGUGCGUAGUGAGAAUAACGACAUAUGGUGCAUUAUUUAAACUGAUAAAAUACGCAUACAUAAUGACAAAAAAUACGCUUAUGUAAGAGGAACAGUUGGCCGAGUGGCUGGAGCCUUGUGCCUUGUGCCUUGUGCUACGGUGCCGCACGCCAUCUGUUCAAUACCCGGGUAAGACUUUUUUUAUUUUUAAUUUUUAAGGAAGUUUUAUGAAGUAGGAAAAUAUUAUAUACAAGAUUUAGUAAGUUUAAUUUAAAAAAUUUCUAUUCUUAACGCAAUUUUUUUUGUGAGAGUUUUAACAGAUCCAUUUAAGUGAUUUUACUAUUGUUUGUUUUUCUCAUUAUUUAGCGGAUUACUUGCUGUAAUUAGCAAACACAGUCAAUUAAGACAGGGCAAGUCCAUCUUGAUUAGCUUUGCUUAGAGAGAUUUCCUGGGCAAGGAAGAAGAGUGCGUAGUGAGAAUAACCACAUAUGGUGCAUUAUUUAAACUGAUAAAAUACGCAUACAUAAUGACAAAAAAAACGCUUAUCUAAGAGGAACAGUUGGCCGAGUGGCUGGAGCCUUGUGCCUUGUGCCUUGUGCUACGGUGCCGCACGCCAUCUGUUCAAUACCCGGCGGAUUACUUGCUGUAAUUAGCACACACAGUCAAUUAAGACAGGGCAAGUCCAUCUUGAUUAGCUUUGCUUAGAGAGAUUUCCUGGGCAAGGAAGAAGAGUGCGUAGUGAGAAUAACCAUAUAUGGUGCAUUAUUUAAACUGAUAAAAUACGCAUACAUAAUGACAAAAAAAACGCUUAUCUAAGAGGAACAGUUGGCCGAGUGGCUGGAGCCUUGUGCCUUGUGCCUUGUGCUACGGUGCCGCACGCCAUCUGUUCAAUACCCGGGUAAGACUUUUUUUAUUUUUUAUUUUUAACGAAGUUUUAUGAAGUAGGAAAAUACUAUAUACAAGAUUUAGUAAGUUUAAUUUAAAAAAUUUCUAUUCUAAACGCAAUUUUUUUUGUGAGAGUUUUAACAGAUCCA
rnacentral:lncRNA from 1 species